AUUGAACGCUGGCGGCAGGCCUAACACAUGCAAGUCGAACGAGUGGCGUACGGGUUAGUAAUGUCUGUGAAACUGCCCGUUGGAGGGGGAUAACUACUGGAAACGGUAGCUAAUACCGCCUACCUUCGGAUGUGCCCAGAUGGGAUUAGCUAGUAGGUGGGGUAACGGCUCACCUAGGCGACGAUCCCUAGCUGGUCUGAGAGGAUGACCAGCCACACUGGAACUGAGACACGGUCCAGACUCCUACGGGAGGCAGCAGUGGGGAAUAUUGCACAAUGGGCGCAAGCCUGAUGCAGCCAUGCCGCGUGUAUGAAGAAGGCCUUCGGGUUGUAAAGCACUUUCAGCGGGGAGGCGUUACCCGCAGAAGAAGCACCGGCUAACUCCGUGCCAGCAGACGCGGUAAUAC
rnacentral:rRNA from 1 species